rnacentral:rRNA from 1 species
UACCGCAUAAAGUUGAGAGACCAAAGCAUGGGACCUACGGGCCAUGCGCCAUUUGAUGAACCCAUAUGGGAUUAGCUAGUUGGUGKGGUAAAGGCUYACCAAGGCGACGAUCUCUAGCUGGUCUGAGAGGAUGACCAGCCACACUGGAACUGAGACACGGUCCAGACUCCUACGGGAGGCAGCAGUGGGGAAUAUUGCACAAUGGGGGGAACCCUGAUGCAGCCAUGCCGCGUGUAUGAAGAAGGCCUUCGGGUUGUAAAGUACUUUCGGUGAUGAGGAAGGUGAUGWAUCUAAUAGGUKCAUUAAUUGACGUUAAUCACAGAAGAAGCACCGGCUAACUCCGUGCCAGCAGCCGCGGUAAUACGGAGGGUGCGAGCGUUAAUCGGAAUGACUGGGCGUAAAGGGCAUGUAGGCGGAUAAUUAAGUUAGGUGUGAAAGCCCUGGGCUCAACCUAGGAAUUGCACUUAAAACUGGUUAACUAGAGUAUUGUAGAGGAAGGUAGAAUUCCACGUGUAGCGGUGAAAUGCGUAGAGAUGUGGAGGAAUACCGGUGGCGAAGGCGGCCUUCUGGACAGAUACUGACGCUGAGAUGCGAAAGCGUGGGGAGCAAACAGGAUUAGAUACCCUGGUAGUCCACGCUGUAAACGAUGUCGAUUUGGAGUUUGUUGCCUAGAGUGAUGGGCUCCGAAGCUAACGCGAUAAAUCGACCGCCUGGGGAGUACGGCCGCAAGGUUAAAACUCAAAUGAAUUGACGGGGGCCCGCACAAGCGGUGGAGCAUGUGGUUUAAUUCGAUGCAACGCGAAGAACCUUACCUGGUCUUGACAUCCACAGAAUCUUGUAGAGAUACGAGAGUGCCUUCGGGAACUGUGAGACAGGUGCUGCAUGGCUGUCGUCAGCUCGUGUUGUGAAAUGUUGGGUUAAGUCCCGCAACGAGCGCAACCCUUAUCCUUUGUUGCCAUCGAUUAGGUCGGGAACUCAAAGGAGACUGCCGUUGAUAAAGCGGAGGAAGGUGGGGACGACGUCAAGUCAUCAUGGCCCUUACGACCAGGGCUACACACGUGCUACAAUGGCGUAUACAAAGGGAGGCGACCUCGCGAGAGUAAGCGGACCUCACAAAGUACGUCUAAGUCCGGAUUGGAGUCUGCAACUCGACUCCAUGAAGUCGGAAUCGCUAGUAAUCGUGAAUCAGAAUGUCACGGUGAAUACGUUCCCGGGCCUUGUACACACCGCCCGUCACA